rnacentral:rRNA from 1 species
ACCUACGGGAGGCAGCAGUCGAGAAUUUUUCUCAAUGGGGGAAACCCUGAAGGAGCGACGCCGCGUGGGGGAUGAAUGGCUUCGGCCCGUAAACCCCUGUCAUUUGCGAUCAAACCUUACGACCUAACACGUCGUAAGCUGAUAGUAGCGGAAGAGGAAGGGACGGCUAACUCUGUGCCAGCAGCCGCGGUAAUACAGAGGUCCCAAGCGUUGUUCGGAUUCACUGGGCGUAAAGGGUGCGUAGGCGGUCGGGUAAGUCUGACGUGAAAUCUUCAAGCUCAACUUGGAAACUGCGUCGGAUACUAUUCGGCUAGAGGAAUGGAGGGGAGACUGGAAUACUUGGUGUAGCAGUGAAAUGCGUAGAUAUCAAGUGGAACACCAGUGGCGAAGGCGAGUCUCUGGACAUUUCCUGACGCUGAGGCACGAAAGCCAGGGGAGCAAACGGGAUUAGAUACCCCGGU